rnacentral:rRNA from 1 species
GACGAACGCUGGCGGCGUGCUUAACACAUGCAAGUCGAACGGAAAGGCCCUGCUUUUGUGGGGUGCUCGAGUGGCGAACGGGUGAGUAACACGUGAGUAACCUGCCCUUGACUUUGGGAUAACUUCAGGAAACUGGGGCUAAUACCGGAUAGGAGCUCCUGCUGCAUGGUGGGGGUUGGAAAGUUUCGGCGGUUGGGGAUGGACUCGCGGCUUAUCAGCUUGUUGGUGGGGUAGUGGCUUACCAAGGCUUUGACGGGUAGCCGGCCUGAGAGGGUGACCGGCCACAUUAAGACUGAGAUACGGCCCAAACUCAUAAGGGAGGCAGCAGUGGGGAAUAUUGCACAAUGAGCGGAAGCCUGAUGCAGCAACAACGCGUGCGGGAUGACUGCCUUCGGGUUGUAAACCGAUUUCGCCUGUGACGAAGCGUGAGUGACGGAAAUGGGUAAAGAAGCAACGGCUAACUACGUG